AGGAUGAACGCUGGCGGCGUGCCUAAAACAUGCAAGUCAUACGGGCUACCUUCGGGUAGCCAGGUGGCAAACGGGUGAGUAACACGUGGGAACGCGCCUUGGGGUGGGGAAUAACGCUGAGAAAUCAGUGCUAAUACCGCAUAUGGUCUAACGACUAAAGCAGCAAUGCGCCCCGAGAGCGGCCCGCGACCGAUUAGCUAGUUGGUGGGGUAAUGGCCUACCAAGGCGGUGAUCGGUAGCUGGU
rnacentral:rRNA from 1 species